AGCGACGCGGAAGAUUUACGUAUGGGGCCUCGCUCUGGGAUAGCUUUACGGCUUCGGGGAGCUGCUGCUUCGCUGUGACAAGUAGCCGCGACGAGCUAUCCGGGAAAGGUCCGAGUGCGAUUAAACCUAAUCCGCGAGACUUGCUAAGGUUCUGUGCUACAAAUUGAUGUUUAGAUAAACUUCAGUGAAAUGACUCUUCAGGAAUUGGUGCAUAAGGCUGCCUCCUGUUAUAUGGACAGAGUAGCUGUGUGUUUUGAUGAAUGCAACAACCAGCUUCCAGUUUACUACACCUACAAGACUGUGGUUAAUGCUGCUUCUGAAUUAUCAAAUUUUCUGCUGUUACACUGUGACUUUCAAGGAAUUCGGGAAAUUGGUCUCUACUGCCAACCUGGGAUAGACUUACCCUCUUGGAUUUUAGGAAUUCUCCAAGUCCCAGCUGCUUAUGUACCUAUCGAGCCAGAUUCACCACCGUCAUUAUCAACUCAUUUUAUGAAAAAAUGUAAUCUGAAGUAUAUCCUUGUUGAAAAAAAACAAAUUAAUAAAUUUAAAUCUUUUCAUGAAACGUUAUUGAACCAUGAUACAUUUACAGUGGAACAUAAUGACCUAGUGCUCUUCAGACUUCACUGGAAAAAUACUGAGGUGAACUUGAUGCUAAAUGAUGGAAAAGAGAAAUACGAAAAAGAAAAAAUAAAAAUCAGCAUAAGUUCUGAGCAUGUCAAUGAAGAAAAAGCAGAAGAACACAUGGAUCUGAGGCUAAAGCAUUGCUUAGCCUAUGUUCUACAUACAUCAGGGACUACAGGGAUACCGAAGAUUGUCAGAGUGCCUCAUAAGUGUAUAGUACCAAAUAUCCAGCAUUUUCGGGUACUUUUUGACAUCACACAAGAAGAUGUUUUGUUUCUGGCUUCACCUCUGACCUUUGAUCCUUCUGUUGUGGAAAUAUUUCUUGCUCUAUCAAGUGGUGCCUCUCUGCUUAUUGUACCAACUUCCGUCAAGUUGCUUCCAUCAAAAUUAGCCAGCAUUCUCUUUUCCCAUCAUAGAGUGACUGUUUUGCAGGCAACACCAACACUGCUUAGAAGAUUUGGGUCUCAGCUUAUCAAGUCAACUGUUCUGUCAGCCACUACUUCUCUUCGAGUAUUAGCCCUUGGUGGUGAAGCGUUUCCAUCAUUGACAGUUCUCAGAAGCUGGAGAGGAGAAGGCAAUAAAACACAAAUAUUUAAUGUUUAUGGUAUCACAGAGGUAUCAAGUUGGGCGACCAUUUAUAGGAUUCCAGAGAAGACUCUUAACUCUACUCUCAAAUGUGAAUUGCCUGUACAACUGGGAUUUCCACUUCUUGGAACAGUAGUUGAAGUCAGAGAUACUAAUGGCUUCACAAUUCAGGAAGGCAGUGGCCAAGUAUUUUUAGGUGGCAGAAACAGAGUGUGUUUUCUUGAUGAUGAAGUGACAGUACCACUUGGCACAAUGCGAGCUACAGGAGACUUUGUGACUGUGAAAGAUGGAGAGAUAUUUUUUUUGGGACGAAAAGACAGUCAGAUCAAACGUCAUGGCAAACGUCUUAACAUUGAAUUUGUGCAACAGGUUGCUGAAGAGCUUCAGCAAGUGGAGUCUUGUGCCGUUACAUGGUAUAAUCAGGAAAAAUUAAUUCUCUUCAUGGUGUCUAAAGAUGCUUCAGUAAAAGAAUACAUCUUUAAAGAACUGCAGAAAUAUCUUCCAAGUCAUGCAGUCCCGGAUGAGCUUGUAUUGAUCGAUUCUCUACCAUUUACAUCCCACGGCAAAAUUGAUGUUUCUGAGUUAAACAAGAUAUAUUUAAACUACAUAAACUUGAAGUCUGAGAAUAAGCUCAGUGGGAAAGAGGACCUUUGGGAAAAAUUACAGUAUUUGUGGAAGUCUACUCUGAAUCUCCCAGAAGAUCUUUUGAGGGUUCCUGAUGAGUCACUCUUCUUAAAUAGUGGUGGAGAUUCCUUGAAGUCCAUCCGGCUCCUCAGUGAGAUUGAAAAACUUGUUGGUACAUCAGUACCUGGGCUUCUGGAAAUUAUUCUCAGCAGUUCCAUUUUAGAGAUUUAUAAUCACAUCCUUCAAACGGUGUUUCCAGAUGAAGAUGCGACAUUCAGGAAGAGUUGUGCCACAAAAAGGAAACUCAGCGACAUUAAUCAAGAGGAAGCCAGUGGAACAUCUUUACAUCAGAAAGCCAUCAUGACUUUCAGUUGUCACAAUGAGAUUAAUGCUUUUGUUGUACUGAGCAGAGGGAGUCAAAUUUUGUCUCUGAAUACCACUAGGUUUUUAACAAAGUUAGGACAUUGCUCUUCAGCCUGUCCUUCUGAUUCGAUUUCACAGACCAACAUUCAAAAUUUGAAAGGUUUAAAUUCUCCACUUCUAAUUGGGAAGUCAAAAGAUCCAUCCUGUGUUGCAAAAGUUUCUGAAGAGGGGAAACCUGUGAUGGGGACUCAGAAAAUGGAGUUACAUGUGAGGUGGAGGUCAGACACAGGCAAAUGCGUAGAUGCUUCACCGCUGGUUGUAAUACCCACUUUUGAUAAGUCAUCUACAACUGUGUACAUUGGUUCCCAUUCUCAUAGAAUGAAGGCAGUUGACUUUUACUCUGGGAAGGUGAAAUGGGAACAGAUUUUGGGAGAUCGAAUUGAAUCCUCAGCAUGUGUAUCUAAGUGUGGAAACUUUAUUGUGGUGGGCUGUUAUAAUGGAUUAGUUUAUGUUCUGAGAAGUAAUAGUGGAGAAAAAUACUGGAUGUUUACUACUGAAGAUGCUGUCAAAAGCUCGGCAACCGUGGAUCCAACCACAGGACUCAUUUACAUUGGAUCUCAUGAUCAGCACGCAUAUGCUUUAGAUAUUUAUAGAAAGAAGCGUGUUUGGAAGUCAAAAUGUGGAGGAACUGUCUUUUCCUCUCCGUGUUUGAACCUGAUUCCACAUCAUUUGUAUUUUGCUACAUUGGGAGGACUUUUACUGGCUGUAAAUCCUGCUACUGGGAACGUUAUUUGGAAACAUUCCUGUGGAAAACCACUCUUCUCUUCCCCACGACGUUGCUCACAGUAUGUUUGUAUUGGCUGUGUAGACGGGAAUUUACACUGCUUUACUCACUUUGGAGAACAGGGUCUGGCCCUUUAAGUCAGUAUGUCUGAUGUGUGGCCAUAAGCUGCAAUUCUCACGUGCUCUCAGCUGCUACUUCUGCUGCUGCUGCUGAAUUUCCCCAUAGUUUGUUGCUCAGAAGACUACAACACAACUAAAGCAAAAUAACACUUCAUUGGUAUUUAGUGCAAAUUUGGGGUGAUUUUGAAAUGAAAUGUUAAACAUGUACCCUUUAGAAGCUGUUUGUUAUAAGUAAGUACUGUGACUGCCCUUUCUUCAGUAUACUCUUCUUUUAAAAAGACUUUGAUGGAAAAAUUUUAACUGAGGUAUUUCGCCUACUUUGGGCACAGUGAUAUCCCAGCCAAUACAAAGUUGACACAUCUACAAUUUUUUGUAACUGAUCUUAUUUCCCCACCUGUUCCCUGCCAUAAUUGGGAUAUUGUCCAAAGCUGACUGACAGGAUGAAAGAAAAAGUCAAUUCAGAAGAAUUACUGUAGCAUUAUCAUUCCAGGGCUGUAGGUGGAAAGAUUCCCAUUAAAAAGUGUUAUAUUAGUGAGGAAAUCAUUGGAACUAACAAAUGCCUACAUAUAAGAUUUAGAAAUGAACAUUAGUAUGGAAGACGUGCAGUGAAAUACUAAUUGCUUGCCAUAGCAAUAAAAAUAGGUUACAUUGAUUUUUAACAGUCUGAAGGUCCAGUAUAUAUGAUAUUAAAUCCAACUUGCAAGAGUACAACUAUCCACUUAACCACACAUGCCAGCUGCUACAGUGAGGCUGAGCCAUUGUUUCUAGAAAGAAAAUGGUUUCUACAUGGUAAAUAACUUUGCCAUCAUCCUUUAUUUAAGGUACACGGUAGAAUAACAGCACAUUGCAUAUUGAGUGAGCAUAAAGGAAAGUAAUGAUGGAUACUUCUUAAUAAAGCAUGUUUUUGUAGGAGAGGAAAAAGGAUGUAAUUCCCUCUGCACAGAGCAAAGGACGUGUACCUAUAUUUUGGAGUAAGAAUCUAAGAAAAGGGGAAUAUGCCAACACUAUGAAAUAUGAGGUUAGCACCAGCAAUAUGUGAGUUUGCCAGUAUGUCUAUGUAUGUUUCAUGUAAAGUAAAUUUAGGGAAAUAAGAGUGAAUAUAUGUG